GUUUUCUGAAGUCCUAGAAGUAAAUAAUUAGAAUAUGUGAUGCUCUGCGAUGAAAGUGUACUUGAUGACAGCGAUACAUACUUAGUGAUUAUAAUUUAUGGUAUGACAUCCUUGUUAGAGCAAGGGUCAUUUCUGUCUCCCUACUAAUAGACAUAUCUUAUUGAACUUGAGUCUACUGCCAGGCUUAAUAAAUGUUGCUCUUCGGAAGCUGUUA